CGCCUGCGCCGUCGUGUCGGGCCCGAGCGCUGGACGCGUGCGCAGUGGCGCAGGUGACGCCACGCCGAGGCCGGGCGGGUUGUUCCCGGAACCCCAUGCACGCUGCGCUCCAGGGUGGUGGGCGGGGAGUCCACGGUGCUUCCUGGUGCGGGGCGCACCUUGGUGGCACAGAUCGUCCUUCCUGAGGGUGCAGCGGUUGUCUGCGGAGCCGGACGCACAGGGUGCUGUGGUUUGUGAGGCCCUCAGCCCACCGCUGUCUGCGGCAGGAGAGAAAACUCCGCGGGACAACCGCUGCUCGACAGUUGAACAUCCUGUUGCUUUUGGAUGUGAAACUGCCCCCACUCGUGCGCGUGAACAGGUGGCUGUAAGGCUCCCAGCUGCCCCGUCUAUUUUGGGAGAAUACCGAAACCUUUGGGACUUAAGAUCGUCGACCCAAAUAGAUCAGCCAGAGUGUGGACCUUGGAGGUGACAGCUGCUUCCGCCACGAAGACCCACAUAGCCCCCCUCUGGUUCCUCCCCCUUAACUUCCCCCUCUAUUUUUGCUUAAUUUAUUUUUUAUGUGUGCAUGGAUGUUUCGCCUCUGUAGCACGCGCUUGCCUGGUGCCUGCAGAGGCCAGGAGAGGGCGUGGGAUACCCUAGGACUGAGUUAGCAGACUUGUGAUCCUCAGUAUGGGUGGUGGGAAGCUAACUCUCCUCCAGAAGCCCACCGAGUCAUAGCAGCCAGAUGAGUGACUGAUACUGUGAACCUGACCCUGCUGAACUCCAAAAGCUCCAAAAGCCAAGCACUCAGCCACUUGUGCCGGGACUCAGUCCUGGGCCCUGUGUGUGCUGAGCCCAGGCUGAGCCACUUGGCUGUACCCCAGCCCCAAACCCACAUGAGAGAAUUCCCACUGAGUUACACCCGGCCUGGCUCCAGAGUGCCACACCUAGCCUGAACUCAUCUUCUGUUUCUCUUGUUGCCCUCCAUGCGAAUCUUGUCUGAGAGUUUCCCAAGGGCACAAAGCCUUUGCAAAGCUUGUUUGGAAAAAUCAGCAAACUGUGACAGUCCUUGAUCUGACACUGUCCCUUUGGAGACCCCGUCAGGUUGUUCUGAGGCUAUGGAAAUCAACUGGAAGGCGUCUGAGUCCCCCAGUGAAAGGCUAGAGACAUCCCAAAGGUGUGUGUGCUGUGCCUUCUUCCCAGGGACCCGUGAGAACCCACGCCCGCACACCACCUACAGCUUUCUGAGUGCCACUGUGAGGCCACAAGUGGCGAGUUACACUCCGAGGAACAUUGCACAUAGAUGCUUUGGUUUUGGUUUUCCGAGACAAGGUUUCUCUGUGUGGCCCAGCUUAACACAAAUCCCAAAUUGUCUUAUAAUUAAAACCCAGAGCCAGAUAUAGGGGUCAAUGCUGAAAGAUCAGAGGAAACAAGCCACAGCCACUUCUCACCUCGCCAGCUCCUGAGCCUCUGAGUCCUCAGCCCAAAAGAAGCUCUCUAGUUCCUGUCUCCUCACACCUUACAUGCCUUUCUCCGCCCGGCCAUUUCACUUCUUAUCCCCACCUUCCUAGUGCUGGGAUUAAAGGCAUGUGUGCUUCCCAAACACUGGUGUUAAAGGUGUGUACACCACUGUCUGACUCUGUUUCUCCCCUAAACUGGAUCAAUCUCAGGUGGCCCAGUGUGUCCUUGAACUCACAGAAAUCCAGCUCUCUGCCUCCCAAGUGCUAGGAUUAAAGGUGUGUGCCACCA